UACAGAGGUCUCAAGCGUUGUUCGGAUUCAUUGGGCGUAAAGGGUGCGUAGGCGGCGCGGUAAGUCGGGUGUGAAAUCUCGGAGCUUAACUCCGAAACUGCAUUCGAUACUGCCGUGCUUGAGGACUGGAGAGGAGACUGGAAUUUACGGUGUAGCGGUGAAAUGCGUAGAUAUCGUAAGGAAGACCAGUGGCGAAGGCGGGUCUCUGGAACGGUACUGACGCUGAGACGCGAAAGCGUGGGGGAGCGAACAGG
rnacentral:rRNA from 1 species